CCUACGGGAGGCAGCAGUGAGGAAUAUUGGUCAAUGGACGAGAGUCUGAACCAGCCAAGUAGCGUGAAGGAUGCCUGCCCUAUGGGUUGUAAACUUCUUUUAUAUGGGAAUAAAAUGUUCCACGUGUGGGAUUUUGUAUGUACCCUAUGAAUAAGGCUAGGCUAACUCCGUGCCAGCAGCCGCGGUAAUACGGAGGAACCGAGCGUUAUCCGGCUUUAGUGGGUUUAAAGGGAGAGUAGGUGGAUUUUUAAGUCAGUUGUGAAAGUUUGCGGCGCAACCGUAAAAUUGCAGUUGAAACUGGCAGUCUUGAGUACAGUAGAGGUAAGCGGAAUGCGUGGUGUAGCGGUGAAAUGCAUAGAUAUCACGAAGAACGCCGAUUGCGAAGGCAGUUCACUGGACUGCAACUGACACUGAGGCACGAAAGUGUGGGUAUCAAACAGGAUUAGAUACCCGGGUAGUC
rnacentral:rRNA from 1 species